GGGUUAGUAGGUUGGUCAUGCCUCUGGUAUGUACUGGUCUCACUGAUUCCUCCUUCCUGAUGAGCCGUAAUGCCAUUAAUUUGGUGUUGCGGGGAAUUUGGACUGUUACUUUGAAAAAAUUAGAGUGUUUAAAGCAAGCUAACGCUUGAAUACAUUAGCAUGGAAUAAUGAAAUAGGACUUUGGUUCUAGGAUUGACGUA
rnacentral:rRNA from 1 species